rnacentral:rRNA from 1 species
GACAGAGGAUGCAAGCGUUAUCCGGAGUGAUUGGGCGUAAAGCGUCUGUAGGUGGCUUUUAAGUCCGCCGUCAAAUCCCAGGGCUCAACCCUGGACAGGCGGUGGAAACUACCAAGCUGGAGUACGGUAGGGCAGAGGGAAUUUCCGGUGGAGCGGUGAAAUGCGUAGAGAUCGGAAAGAACACCAACGGCGAAAGCACUCUGCUGGCCGACACUGACACUGAGAGACGAAAGCUAGGGAGCGAAUGGG